rnacentral:rRNA from 1 species
AAUGAACGCUGGCGGCAUGCCUAACACAUGCAAGUCGAGCGGACGCACGGUGAGAGCUCUCGCUUACGGUUGGCGACGGGCGGGUGAGUAAUAAGUACAUCCCAAUCUUCUUUGUCUUGGGUAAGAACGUGGGCGCGGUUACACUAAUAGCUCAUACGACGUACGGGUGGGAUCAUUAGAUCUUACGGGCUUUCAUGAUUCAAUGAGCCGGUGUCGGAUUAGCUAGUUGGCGGGGUAAAGGCCCACCAAGGCGACGAUACGUAGCGGGUCUGAGAGGAUGGUCAGCCACACUGGAACUGAGACACGGUCCAGACUCCUACGGGAGGCAGCAGUGGGGAAUAUUGGACAAUGGGCGAAAGCCUGAUCCAGCCAUGCCGCGUGGGUGAAGAAGGUCUUCGGGUUGUAAAGCACUUUUGUUGGGAAAGAAAAGAAGUAGGUUAAUACCUCGCUGUUCUGACGGUACCCAAAGAAUAAGCACCGGCUAACUUCGUG